UACAUUAAAUCCGAGAGGUCAUUUUCAUAAUUUCAGUGUUUAUUACCGUGAAACACACUCCCCGAUCUUUUCUCAAGUGCCACGGUGCCACCCUUCUCUGCUUUUCAUUUGCUCCCCAGCUUUAUCGAGCUUCCACACACCCGCUGAGAAAGAAGACUGUAGCAUUAUCUUCAUCACAUAGUAACAAGUUGAUCUGUUGUGGAAAGGAACUUUUGUAAGUUAAA